UUACACUUCCUACUAUAUCUUGCUUGAAACCGAUAAAGUGAACGUGAAACAAAUGGUUACUGAGCCACUCGCCCCAGGUUAUUCAGCUCAGGUGACUACUAGCUCCACUCGUAAUUACCCAAUAAAAAGGUAUGGGCGAGUUUUUUAAAUGGCCCAAAAAGGGGUGAUACUCUUCCAAACACCGAUUUCUCCAUACGAAAUCACCUUAAGGGGACACCAAGUACCGCACUACUUGGACCAUCGGGUUGGUAACCAAUUGAUCAAGCAACUAGAGGAGUGGGUCAUAGGAGUGCAUUUAUUUCU
rnacentral:lncRNA from 1 species